rnacentral:rRNA from 1 species
AACUCAAAAAAUGAUCUCAGUUCGGACUGUAGGCUGCAACUCGCCUACACGAAGUUGGAAUUGCUAGUAAUCGUGGAUCAGCAUGCCACGGUGAAUACGUUCCCGGGUCUUGUACACACCGCCCGUCACACCAUGGGAGCUGGUAACACCCGAAGUCAGUAGUCUAACCGCAAGGAGGACGCUGCCGAAGGUGGGAUUAGCGACUGGGGUGAAGUCGUAACAAGGUACC